rnacentral:lncRNA from 1 species
GGGAUUGUUAGCUGGCAGAAAUGAAUAGAUAGAUGGAUGGAAUUGAAGAAGUAGAAGAAAUAUAAAGAUGAAAUCGAUCAGCAAAAGGGUCGCCGGAUCUUUCGCCAUCCCCACGUCGUCUCAUGCAUGAGAUUCCUCCAAUUCAUACUGUCAUACUACUUAUUAUGGGGGGUGGGUUCUUCCUACCUUCUUCCCUUCUCAGUUGAUUAGGCCAUAAGCACGUGAAUCAAGAUUCAUACUCUGUUUAUUUUAUGUAUUAGUAUAUGUUUACAUUCCAUGUACUACAAGUAUGCCCUUUCUCAUUUCAGUAUGUUGGAGUUGGACUACCUUUCCAACCAAUCAUAUGCUUAAUUUCUAUGCAAAUUAGGCUUGAUUAAAGAUUUUAUGUCCAUUUUUUUUAAAAAAAAGAAGGAAUUAAAAGCUUCAUAUAUACCAAACACUCAUGAAUGCCCAAAUUUGUCUAGAACUAGAACCUAAACCAGAUGAAUGGGGGAUUGAUUUGAAGGGCAAGAAAUAUGAUCUCCCAAGUAAAUAUUUCAAAGAGUAAUUGGGUUCAUUCCAACACAUGCAUACAUACAUUGUGCAGGCAGGCCAGUAAUAAUAAGAUGGAUCUUUAAUUUAGUGGAGUAUUAAGCUUUUGAACAACAUUUAAUUACUUGUAUAUUUUUCAGAAGCUCAAUGAAGAUCUUUUUCAGUUGAGGACAAGAGAAGGGGUCAUUAGAAAUAAAUAAAUUAACAAAGCUGCUGGCAUCCAGUUCCUUGUCUCAAGGAGAUUGUGUUGUUCCUCAAUCACAGAUAUAGAAUGAACUGAUCAUAAAUCACAGAAAUAACCCAUGUUCAUUUAAGUUAAUCAUAUCCUCCUUAUCUUUUAAACAUUAAUUUAUUUACGAAUUAAUUACUUCUCUGUGCUCAACCGCGUUGUCAAUGAAUCCACAUGCCAAACUUAAGCUCCUAACAAUCACUUGUUUAUUUAUAAGUUGAAAAUUAGUUGACAUCCACACACCCGUUUUAAAAUUAGAUAUAUAUUUUUCAUUUAAUGUAUUUUAAAAUUAGAGAUAUUUGUGUAUUUAAAUUAUAAAGUUACAUAAAAUUCUUAAUAUGUCAAUACUACUAUUAUUUUGGCACUACUCCUAUAUUUUUAAGGAAUUAAUUUUUGAAAGUUUAUAUAUUCUUAUGAGUAAAAUAGAAUGACAUCCCGUGUAGAUAAUUAUAAUAACACUUAUUACCGCUCUAAUCGCUCUAAUUUUUCAAAUAACAGUCAGUACUCCUCUAGUCCACAAUGGGUAGCAUUCACUAUCUCUAGUGUGGUUGUCCAACUAAUAUUCAAAAAUAUUUUUAAUAUAAUGUCUAAUAUGCCUUCAAGUUAUAAUGUUUAAUAUAUCCACUAAAUAUAAAUUUAUAUAUUAUAUUUU